CAGGGAAUAUUGCACAAUGGACGGAAGUCUGAUGCAGCGACGCCGCGUGGACGAAGAAGGCCUUCGGGUUGUAAAGUCCUUUUCAGGGGGAAGAGAGAGGACGGUACCCUUGGAAUAAGCGUCGGCUAACUACGUGCCAGCAGCCGCGGUAAGACGUAGGACGCGAGCGUUAUCCGGAUUUACUGGGCGUAAAGCGUCUGUAGGCGGGACAGUAAGUUGGGCGUGAAAGCUUCGGGCUUAACCCGGAGAGGACGUACAAGACUGCUGAACUAGAGGCCAGCAGAGGGGCGUGGAAUUGCCGGGGUAGCGGUAAAAUGCGCAGAUAUCGGAAGGAACACGAGUGGCGAAGGCGGCGCCCUGGGGUGGGCCUGACGCUAGGAGACGAAAGCUAGGGG
rnacentral:rRNA from 1 species